GACGAACGCUGGCGGCGUGCUUAACACAUGCAAGUCGAACGGUAAGGCCCUUCGGGGUACACGAGUGGCGAACGGGUGAGUAACACGUGGGUGAUCUGCCCUGCACUUCGGGAUAAGCCUGGGAAACUGGGUCUAAUACCGGAUAGGACCACUGCCUGCAUGGGUGGUGGUGGAAAGCUUUUGCGGUGUGGGAUGGGCCCGCGGCCUAUCAGCUUGUUGGUGGGGUGAUGGCCUACCAAGGCGACGACGGGUAGCCGGCGUGAGAGGGUGACCGGCCACACGGGGACUGGGAUACGGCCCAGACUCCUGCGGGAGGCAGCAGUGGGGAAUAUUGCACAAUGGGCGCAAGCCUGAUGCAGCGACGCGGCGUGAGGGAUGACGGCCUUCGGGUUGUAAACCUCUUUCAGCACCGACGAAGCGCAAGUGACGGUAGGUGCAGAAGAAGGACCGGCCAACUACGUGCCAGCAGCCGCCGUAA
rnacentral:rRNA from 1 species